rnacentral:rRNA from 1 species
UACGGAGGUGGCAAGCGUUGUUCGGAUUUACUGGGCGUAAAGGGCGCGUAGGCGGUCAGCACAAGUCAGUUGUGAAAUCUCCGGGCUUAACUCGGAAAGGUCAACUGAUACUGUGCGACUAGAGUGCAGAAGGGGCAACUGGAAUUCUCGGUGUAGCGGUGAAAUGCGUAGAUAUCGAGAGGAACACCUGCGGCGAAGGCGGGUUGCUGGGCUGACACUGACGCUGAUGCGCGAAAGCCAGGGGAGCGAACGGG